rnacentral:rRNA from 1 species
GUAGGGUGCAAGCGUUAAUCGGAAUUACUGGGCGUAAAGCGCGCGCAGGCGGCUUUGCAAGACAGAUGUGAAAUCCCCGGGCUCAACCUGGGAACUGCAUUUGUGACUGCAAGGCUGGAGUACGGCAGAGGGGGAUGGAAUUCCGCGUGUAGCAGUGAAAUGCGUAGAUAUGCGGAGGAACACCGAUGGCGAAGGCAAUCCCCUGGGCCUGUACUGACGCUCAUGCACGAAAGCGUGGGGAGCAAACAGGAUUAGAUACCCUGGUAGUCCACGCCCUAAACGAUGUCAACUGGUUGUUGGGAGGGUUUCUUCUCAGUAACGAAGCUAACGCGUGAAGUUGACCGCCUGGGGAGUACCGCCGCAAGGUUG